UACGUAGGUGACAAGCGUUGUCCGGAUUUACUGGGCGUAAAGCGUGCGCAGGCGGUUUUGUAAGUCAGAUGUGAAAUCCCCGGGCUCAACCUGGGAAUGGCAUUUGGGACUGCAAGGCUGGAGUGUGGCAGAGGAGACUGGAAUUCCUGGUGUAGCAGUGAAAUGCGCAGAUAUCGGGAGGAACACCGGUGGCGAAGGCGGUUCUCUGGGCCUUACCUGACGCUGAGGAGCGAAAGCGUGGGGAGCGAACAGG
rnacentral:rRNA from 1 species